GGAGGCAGUAGUGUCUUGUAUGGAAAUCUCUGCUCAUCUGAGGAUCUUAUGGGCCUUCUGAAGCUAUGUAUUUUAGAAGAACUGUCCUUCAGCUCCCAGGUUCCCCAGUGGUCUUCAAUGAAAUAACAAGCUAGUUUUUCUGCCAGAAUCUACUGCUGAGGGCAACAGUACAUUUCUUCUCCUUCAGGCUGAAUUAUCCAAGUAUUUAUCUGUUCUGUCAGACAUGGAGGGGCAGGACCAAAUAUCUGUAGGUAUCUACACCUGGGUUUUUAACAGUGUUCUAUGUGGACACAGCACAGCAACACAGCAGCACAUCGAGAGAUGCAUGCAUAAAUUGAAAUGAGAAGAAUGUGAUGCAGUGAGUUAUAGCUUAAAACUCCUGUUAUCUUUUGCCCGUGACAAUUCGUGCUGUCCGUCUUCUUACUGGAACGUAGGAAACGAACGUUCCUGUCAGACCGACGAACUGCAGUGUUUUAGUGCCGCCUUGUGUUAACGUUUGGAAGUGCAGGUAAAGGAAAUUAUCUGAAGAUGAAUUUCAGUUUGCUCAGGCAUAACAAACAAAUUCCUGCAUUUUUUUUAUUUCUUCUCUAAUAACGUUCCAAGACAAUUUAAGGCUUCUCAGAAACAUUUUUUUAUUUCAAUGACAGGGAACAAGCUUAACUCAGCUACUGAAAUAACUGUGGCUCAAAAAAUUAUUCUGUGCUAGGAAGUAGUGUUGCCUGGGUAAACAUAAUGCUGGGGUCACUGCUAUUAGACCCUCAGGUCUCAGUAGAUGGACUUCUUUCAGACAAAGACAGUUACAUGGAAAAGUCUCUCUGUGCAGUGCCUGGUGUAUUCCAGGUAAACUGGCAUGCUACUCAGUUUUCAGGUAGGAAUGCUGGACUCUUCCAUGAAACAGGGAUGCAGGACUUCUGCCUUGCAUCAUCUGUACUCAUAUUCUACUUGUCUCUUUCACGGGGAAUCUGGCUUGAUGUUUGGAAGCAGCAUAAAACUUUACCAGAGGAGGCUCAGACUUGAUAUUGGGGAAAAACUUCUUUGCUGUGAGGGUGGUUGAACAUUGGAGCAGGCUUCCUAGAGAGGUGGUUGAUGUCCCAUGGCUGUCAGUGUUUAAGAGGUAUUUGAGUAAUGACAUUAACAUAUUUAACUUCUGGUUAGCCCUCAAGAAGUCAGGAAGUUGGAAUAGAUCUUUGAAUAUCCUGUCCAGCUAUUCUGUUCUAUUUUAUAGGGAAGAGGUAGUUUGAAAAAAUAUCCUGAUAAUGCUGUUAUGUUGAAGAUUACUUUAAUUCAAUUAUUUCCACAUUGUAGGCCUAAACUCUUGAGUAAGAUGUUUUCUAUGGCUACCAGCUCUGCCUUACUCACCCUGAGAAUUCAGGUUCAUGCUAGAUUAUUUCCACUUUACACACUGUCAUCAGCAAUAAAGACUAUUCCAUGUGAAUUCUGUCCACUCUGAUACCUUUGUCCCCUGAUUGGC